GACGAACGCUGGCGGCGUGCUUAACACAUGCAAGUCGAACGGAAAGGCCUUGCUUUUGCGGGGUGCUCGAGUGGCGAACGCGUGAGUAACACGUGAGUAACCUGCCCUUGACUUUCUGAUAACUUCUGGAAACUGGGGCUAAUACCGGAUAGGAGCUCCUGCUGCAUGGGGGGGGAUGGAGAGUUUCGGCGGUAUGGGAUGGACUCGCGGCUUAUCCGCUUGUUUGUGGAGUAGUGGCUUACCAAGGCUUUGACGGGUAGCCGGCCUGAGAGGGUGACCGGCCACAUUGGUCCUGAGAUACGGCCCAGAAUGGUACGGGACGCAGCAGUGGGGAGUAUUACACAAUGGGCGGAAGCCUGAUGCAGCAACGUCGCGUGCGGGAUGACGGCCUUCGGGUUGUAAACCGCUUUCGCCGGAGACGAAGCGUGCGUGACGGUAAUGGGUAAAGAAGCACCGGCUAACUACGUG
rnacentral:rRNA from 1 species